rnacentral:tRNA from 2 species
GCCCCCGUAGCCCAAUCGGCAGAGGCAGACGGCUUAAAACCGUCACAGUGUGGGUUCGAGUCCCACCGGGGGCACCA